rnacentral:rRNA from 1 species
GCGGCCUAUCAGCUUGUUGGUGAGGUAAUGGCUCACCAAGGCGACGACGGGUAGCCGGCCUGAGAGGGUGACCGGCCACACUGGGACUGAGACACGGCCCAGACUCCUACGGGAGGCAGCAGUGGGGAAUAUUGCACAAUGGGCGAAAGCCUGAUGCAGCAACGCCGCGUGAGGGACGACGGCCUUCGGGUUGUAAACCUCUUUUAGUAGGGAAGAAGCGAAAGUGACGGUACCUGCAGAAAAAGCACCGGCUAACUACGUGCCAGCAGCCGCGGUAAUACGUAGGGUGCAAGCGUUGUCCGGAAUUAUUGGGCGUAAAGAGCUCGUAGGCGGUUUGUCGCGUCUGCUGUGAAAACCCGAGGCUCAACCUCGGGCCCGCAGUGGGUACGGGCAGACUAGAGUGCGGUAGGGGAGAUUGGAAUUCCUGGUGUAGCGGUGGAAUGCGCAGAUAUCAGGAGGAACACCGAUGGCGAAGGCAGAUCUCUGGGCCGUAACUGACGCUGAGGAGCGAAAGCAUGGGGAGCGAACAGGAUUAGAUACCCUGGUAGUCCAUGCCGUAAACGUUGGGAACUAGAUGUGGGGACCAUUCCACGGUCUCCGUGUCGCAGCUAACGCAUUAAGUUCCCCGCCUGGGGAGUACGG